UCAUCCUAGUAUGAGGAUCAGUAAUAAAUUCAAAAGUAAUUCUUUUAUUAUUAAUAAUGGAAGUAAUUCCCUUUUGAUCAACAUUAAUCAAAGGCAUAAUUUUAUGCAGAAAGGGAGUUCCUAAUAUAAUUCUAUGAGUUAAAUUUUUUACAAGAAUAAAGUGAGUGGGUAAACAAAUAUCUUUGUUACAAAUAUAAGCAUUAGACAGUUUAUAAUUAACUGUGAGUUUAUCUCCUCCAGCUUGGGUAAGAGAUUGGGUAGUUUUAUCAAAAUAUUUAGUGGGAAUAAUUCCUUCUUGAAGGCAGUUUAAAUCAGCGCCACUGUCAAUAAGGGCAACUUCAUUUUCUAAUAUGAAAUUUCUAUUAAUAACUAAUGUUAUUCUAACAAACCAUUUUUGAGAAGUUACUCUAUCAAUGAGAGAAAGGAAUCUAUCACUAGGUGAAGGAUUAUUAGUGGAAGCUAUUUCUUCAAUUUUUGAAUUAUUGGACUCUAAGAAAAAAAGAAAUGGGGUAAUCCAUCAAUAAAUUUUGCUUUCCAGUGCAAAGAAUUGGGAUUGUUUAAUUGAUAAACUCUUGAAAGAAAAGUAUCCUUAUACCAUCUAAAGUGGGUAAGAGAAGGACACCUAAGGUUUUGGAGAAGUGUCUGGAUCUUUUCUCCAAUGGGGACAUUGGUUCCUACAAAAUGUUGUAAGAUGGAAAGACAUAGUGUAUACACUGCAUCUUCUUCUCCUGUGGUGGUCAUAGCCACAACAGUGCUUGUACUAGUUCUUGGUUCGUUUUUUACGAUUUUUUUGUGAUUAAGAAUCUCUAAUUUUUGAGAUUCAGUAAGAUAAUGGUCCCACCAGCCUCUAAGUUGGCCAACAAAUCCUGUUGUUAUAAAGGACGCAAUUGAACUAUCAGAAUUUCCGUGUUGCUUACAAACAGUAGAGUACAUGAUCAUCCUAUGGAUGGUGUCUAUAAUUUGUUUGUCAUUAAGACCAUCAACAUUCCAUUCAUAAAUGGCUUUUCCUGAAUAAGAAUUCUGGAAAGGUUCUGAUUCCUCAAAAAGCAAAUCUUGCGGUGAGGGACGCUUGUAAUAAUACUUUUCUAUAGGCCUUGGGGAAUAAACAGGGUUUAUACUGUUAUUAUUAUUAAUUUCAAUGUUACUAAUAUCUAAA